rnacentral:hammerhead_ribozyme from 1 species
GCACUGAUGAAGAGUCCCAUACUAAGACGAAACGGCCGUCCAGUGC